rnacentral:rRNA from 1 species
CCUACGGGAGGCAGCAGUGGGGAAUAUUGCACAAUGGGGGAAACCCUGAUGCAGCGACGCCGCGUGAGCGAAGAAGUAUUUCGGUAUGUAAAGCUCUAUCAGCAGGGAAGAAAAUGACGGUACCUGAGUAAGAAGCUCCGGCUAAAUACGUGCCAGCAGCCGCGGUAAUACGUAUGGAGCAAGCGUUAUCCGGAUUUACUGGGCGUAAAGGGAGCGUAGGCGGGAGAGCAAGUCAGACGUGAAAUUCCAGGGCUCAACCCUGGAACUGCGUUUGAAACUGUUCUUCUUGAGUGAUGGAGAGGCAGGCGGAAUUCCGUGUGUAGCGGUGAAAUGCGUAGAUAUACGGAGGAACACCAGUGGCGAAGGCGGCCUGCUGGACAUUAACUGACGCUGAGGCGCGAAAGCGUGGGGAGCAAACAGGAUUAGAUACCCCGGUAGUC